GUACUUGCUUCGCAGUACAUAUACAAAAAUUUGGGAACGAUACAGAAAAGAUUAGCAGGGCCCCUCCCAAAGGAUGACACGCAAAUCUAAAGCGUUCCACAUUUUAUU